GAUGAAGAACGUAGCGAAAUGCGAUACGUAGUGUGAAUUGCAGAAUUCAGUGAAUCAUAGAAUCUUUGAACGCACAUUGCACCUCUCGGUAUUCCGGGAGGUAUGCCUGUUCGAGCGUCAUUUGUACCCUCAAGCUCUGCUUGGUGUUGGGUGUUUGUUCCGCCUCUGUGUGUGAACUCGCCUCAAAACAAUUGGCAGCCGGCGUACUUGUUUCGGAGCGCAGCACAUUUUGCGAUCCAGAUCAACGUACAGCGGCAUCCAAGAAGCCUUAUUUAACGCUCUUGACCUCGGAUCAGGUAGGGAUACCCGCUGAACUUAAGCAUAUCAAUAAGCGGAGGA
rnacentral:misc_RNA from 1 species